rnacentral:lncRNA from 1 species
GUAUUAGUUUUUUGAAUUAACAUUUGGUUGCUUGUCUUAAGUUCUAAAUUUUCUUUAGUGAUAAAAUCCUUAUCCUUAACUAAUUUAUCAUAUUUAUGGAGGUGAGAUUGAUUGGUUAGUUUUAGCUCUUUAUUCUUAAGGAUUAAUGUCUUAUAUUCAUCCAUUAAUUCGUUAAACGCAUCAUAUAACUCAUCAAAUGUAAAAUCUAAAUGCGUUUCAGAUGUUACCUCAUUUUCGUUUGCCAUAAAGCAUAGAUUGGCCUUUUCUUCUUGUUCCUCAUCCGAU